GACAGAGGUGCCAAGCGUUAGGCGGAAUCACUGGGCUUAAAGCGUGUGUAGGUGGAUUUGUAAGUACCUUGUGAAAUCCCAUGGCUCAACCGUGGAACUGCUGGGCAUACUGGACAUCUUGAGGCACUCAGGGGCGAGCGGAACAAGUGGUGGAGCGGUGAAAUGCGUAGAUAUCACUUGGAACGCCAAUGGUGAAGACAGCUCGCUGGGGGUGUCCUGACGCUGAGGCGCGAAAGCCAGGGGAGCGAACGGG
rnacentral:rRNA from 1 species